rnacentral:rRNA from 1 species
GGUUAAGCGACUAAGCGUACACGGUGGAUGCCCUGGCAGUCAGAGGCGAUGAAGGACGUGCUAAUCUGCGAUAAGCGUCGGUAAGGUGAUAUGAACCGUUAUAACCGGCGAUUUCCGAAUGGGGAAACCCAGUGUGUUUCGACACACUAUCAUUAACUGAAUCCAUAGGUUAAUGAGGCGAACCGGGGGAACUGAAACAUCUAAGUACCCCGAGGAAAAGAAAUCAACCGAGAUUCCCCCAGUAGCGGCGAGCGAACGGGGAGCAGCCCAGAGCCUGAAUCAGUGUGUGUGUUAGUGGAAGCGUCUGGAAAGGCGCGCGAUACAGGGUGACAGCCCCGUACACAAAAAUGCACAUAUUGUGAGCUCGAUGAGUAGGGCGGGACACGUGGUAUCCUGUCUGAAUAUGGGGGGACCAUCCUCCAAGGCUAAAUACUCCUGACUGACCGAUAGUGAACCAGUACCGUGAGGGAAAGGCGAAAAGAACCCCGGCGAGGGGAGUGAAAAAGAACCUGAAACCGUGUACGUACAAGCAGUGGGAGCACGCUUCGGCGUGUGACUGCGUACCUUUUGUAUAAUGGGUCAGCGACUUAUAUUCUGUAGCAAGGUUAACCGAAUAGGGGAGCCGAAGGGAAACCGAGUCUUAACUGGGCGUUAAGUUGCAGGGUAUAGACCCGAAACCCGGUGAUCUAGCCAUGGGCAGGUUGAAGGUUGGGUAACACUAACUGGAGGACCGAACCGACUAAUGUUGAAAAAUUAGCGGAUGACUUGUGGCUGGGGGUGAAAGGCCAAUCAAACCGGGAGAUAGCUGGUUCUCCCCGAAAGCUAUUUAGGUAGCGCCUCGUGAAUUCAUCUCCGGGGGUAGAGCACUGUUUCGGCAAGGGGGUCAUCCCGACUUACCAACCCGAUGCAAACUGCGAAUACCGGAGAAUGUUAUCACGGGAGACACACGGCGGGUGCUAACGUCCGUCGUGAAGAGGGAAACAACCCAGACCGCCAGCUAAGGUCCCAAAGUCAUGGUUAAGUGGGAAACGAUGUGGGAAGGCCCAGACAGCCAGGAUGUUGGCUUAGAAGCAGCCAUCAUUUAAAGAAAGCGUAAUAGCUCACUGGUCGAGUCGGCCUGCGCGGAAGAUGUAACGGGGCUAAACCAUGCACCGAAGCUGCGGCAGCGACACUAUGUGUUGUUGGGUAGGGGAGCGUUCUGUAAGCCUGUGAAGGUGUACUGUGAGGUAUGCUGGAGGUAUCAGAAGUGCGAAUGCUGACAUAAGUAACGAUAAAGCGGGUGAAAAGCCCGCUCGCCGGAAGACCAAGGGUUCCUGUCCAACGUUAAUCGGGGCAGGGUGAGUCGACCCCUAAGGCGAGGCCGAAAGGCGUAGUCGAUGGGAAACAGGUUAAUAUUCCUGUACUUGGUGUUACUGCGAAGGGGGGACGGAGAAGGCUAUGUUGGCCGGGCGACGGUUGUCCCGGUUUAAGCGUGUAGGCUGGUUUUCCAGGCAAAUCCGGAAAAUCAAGGCUGAGGCGUGAUGACGAGGCACUACGGUGCUGAAGCAACAAAUGCCCUGCUUCCAGGAAAAGCCUCUAAGCAUCAGGUAACAUCAAAUCGUACCCCAAACCGACACAGGUGGUCAGGUAGAGAAUACCAAGGCGCUUGAGAGAACUCGGGUGAAGGAACUAGGCAAAAUGGUGCCGUAACUUCGGGAGAAGGCACGCUGAUAUGUAGGUGAAGUCCCUUGCGGAUGGAGCUGAAAUCAGUCGAAGAUACCAGCUGGCUGCAACUGUUUAUUAAAAACACAGCACUGUGCAAACACGAAAGUGGACGUAUACGGUGUGACGCCUGCCCGGUGCCGGAAGGUUAAUUGAUGGGGUCAGCGCAAGCGAAGCUCUUGAUCGAAGCCCCGGUAAACGGCGGCCGUAACUAUAACGGUCCUAAGGUAGCGAAAUUCCUUGUCGGGUAAGUUCCGACCUGCACGAAUGGCGUAAUGAUGGCCAGGCUGUCUCCACCCGAGACUCAGUGAAAUUGAACUCGCUGUGAAGAUGCAGUGUACCCGCGGCAAGACGGAAAGACCCCGUGAACCUUUACUAUAGCUUGACACUGAACAUUGAGCCUUGAUGUGUAGGAUAGGUGGGAGGCUUUGAAGUGUGGACGCCAGUCUGCAUGGAGCCGACCUUGAAAUACCACCCUUUAAUGUUUGAUGUUCUAACGUGGACCCGUAAUCCGGGUUGCGGACAGUGUCUGGUGGGUAGUUUGACUGGGGCGGUCUCCUCCUAAAGAGUAACGGAGGAGCACGAAGGUUGGCUAAUCCUGGUCGGACAUCAGGAGGUUAGUGCAAUGGCAUAAGCCAGCUUGACUGCGAGCGUGACGGCGCGAGCAGGUGCGAAAGCAGGUCAUAGUGAUCCGGUGGUUCUGAAUGGAAGGGCCAUCGCUCAACGGAUAAAAGGUACUCCGGGGAUAACAGGCUGAUACCGCCCAAGAGUUCAUAUCGACGGCGGUGUUUGGCACCUCGAUG